rnacentral:sRNA from 1 species
CCAUGAAAGCCGACUGACGGCAAUUUUGGGAUCCGGGGCUGACCAGUCAUUGACAACGCCGUUCAGGUCGACACUGUUCUGAGCAAGCAGCAGUUCGACAACCUUAACAUGGCCGCGUUCACAGGCAAUUAUCAACGCCGUUUUAUCAUCAGUGCCCAACGACCGCAGCGAAGCGCCGGCUCUUAAUGCUUUUCGUGCAAUAUCUUCAUCUCCAUAUUCUGCAGCCCAGAGCAGAGCGGAGCUGGCGCCGUAUCGAUAUAGGUCAGCAUUGAGAAGAGAGAACAAGCGGCGGUUUGUUUGCAACAAAGAAUUCAGAUCAGCAAGUGGUAAGAUUUCACCAAGGGCCAAAAAUAUUUCGUUAGGUAGGUGGAGAUAUUGCAUCUUUGAACUCUGCGGAGAGUGGAAGCGAGGCUGUUGAACGCCGUGCUUGACCCUGUAUAAUUGUCAAAAAGAAAAAAGCCAGUGCAUGACGCGAAGGUCAACAUUCCAGUGUCCUGAGCCAGGGAGCAUAAAGUGCAAACGACGACUAUUGCAAUUUCGUAUUGUCAGACCGGGAUAACGUCCGAAUAUUGCCCCAAAAACCGAGUUACAAAGAAUAUUGAAUUAACUACUCCGUAGUCUAACUCUGAUAAUUACAUGAUAAAAUGGC